UUCAGCUAUUGCUUUGAGCGUUUAAACGAGUGGUUAUAGUUGCCUGACCUGCAUACAUAUUUUAAAAGCGGUGUAAAUAAGGAAGUGAAAAAUUGAGGGUCAAAACGUUUUGACAGUCACACAGUGACUGACCGUGUCCCAGCCUCUGCUAAGAAGGAAGUUAAUCAGACAAGUAGAAAAACAGCGAUAGCAGCCAGAGGCAGAUCAGAGGGAUGAAACCUGGAAUUGUCACGGAACCUUUUGCCCUUAUCAUUUUAGUUUUAAAAUAAUAAACACCCCCCACCUCACCUGCCCCAAAUCACCAACUAGAUAUUCUAUACCUUCUGUGCUUCUCUCGCAAUUUUUUCAUGCUUCAUAGUUCUCCCCUUCCCCCAGCUUACUUUUCCUCGUUGUCCCCUAUUUCUUCCUUGUUUAAUUUCAUUAGGCUCCUGGGGAUGCAGCACCGUGGCUUUAAAAAGCUGUUCUGCUUGUUCUAGUGGCAGUUUCUGUUUAUUCAUAUCGUGGGUCUUGUGGUUUGUGAGCCAAAGUUUGGUGUAACCCUUACUGGCUUAUUUGCAGAGAGUUUACUGCUGCUAAAAAAAAUAGGUUGGGCUUCUUUCCAAAUAUUUUUCAUCUAUGAAUAGUAUUUCUAUAUUAAAAAUCAUUAAAAUGUUUAAAUCGUGUUAUUAUUGUGCUGUAAGGAAAGGAGGUUGUGCAAAAUCGUAUCAUAAAAUCUGUAAAUACAUCCCAGGAUAUUGCCCACACUUCUUAAAAAGCAUUUCUUUAAAAGUUAAGUAUAUAUUUUGGUGUGUGGGAAUGGACUUGUUUCACUUCACGACAGAUCUCAGGCGUUUGAGGUAGAUUAUUUUCUUUUAAAGAUGUAAUUGCCAAAGAUGAGCAGAAGGUACCCAAGGCGCCCGCACCCCACCCCCUCGGAAUUCUGUAAAAUAUAAAAAUAUAUAUACAUCCCACUGUAUUUUAAACUUGUCUUUGUACAACUGUUUUUAUUCUUCAGAUGUAAGUAUUUGUCAGUGAUACAGCAGUGUCUUUCUGAGCUUCUGAAUCUUCUUGAAGUAGUGCCAGAGGAGGAUUUCAGUGAUUAGAACAUGAAUAAGUAUAGCACUAGGAAGACAAAGCCUUUGCUUUUGGGAGACAACAGAUAGCGAGGCUGUGUUUUGUGCAGAAAGCGUCCUAGGAUCCUUUUCAUGCAGUGUACUUGCUCAUCUUAGAGAAAGCAAUGACAUCAGUCUUUGAAAAGUAAACUGUUUUGAAUUAUUGACUGGCGACCAUGCAUUCAGUGACUGAGAUGAAUACGUGUGUGUCCACUGACCAGAAGCCGGAUUAAAAUGAACAAAAUCCCUCACUAAAUGGAUCAAGAAGACAAGAAGUUUAUUCUCUGAAAUGAUGUCAUAGCAGAGUGCAUAGAAAGGGUACAGAGAGGAAAAAAUGGGUUUUUUUCUUCCUGUUUCCAGGAUUGAUUUGCACACUAUUUAAAAGAAAUUGAAGCUCUCCUUACGUAAAUUUGUGUCCUAUCUUUAUACAAAUCAGAUGUAUUUUUUUAUUUCUGGCGUACAGACUUGGAAAGUAUUGUGGCUCUGUAUUAAAGAAUUCUGACAAGAAAAGUGCAUCACAAUCUUCCAGAGUUUUCAGAAACAUACAGUUGUAACACAAGACUUAUCAUCCAGUGGACUUUUCAUGCUAUGAAAGAAUUGAGUAUACUGUGACCAUAAAUGGUUAAAUUUGUGCUCUAGAUUUACUAACGUUUGAUGUUUUCAGAUACUGAGUGGUGAUUGUGGGUAACACUUACCUGGCAAUUGAAAUGAUUUUUCUCAGUCAUCUCAAAACAUAAAUCAGAAAUGUUGAUCCAGAAAACUAAUGAAUUUAUUGUGAAAUAAACACUCUUAAAUCAUGUCAGCGUAUUAGUUAGACAUUUUACAAAUGUAUACAAGAUUAGCUUAAUUUAAUUAGCCAAGAAAGCAUUAGUAGUGCCUUAAGAGCUACUUGAAGGCACUGUGAUAAUUGUAACACGCGAUCCUAGCUGAAAGUAGUACUGCCAACAUCGUUCAACGUACUCGUUGGCAACCUAGAGCUCUCCAUUGUACUUAAUUGCCAAUAGGAGCAAACACGGGCUUGAGGAUUGACAUCGAGUGCUGUAGUGUGGGAAGGUAUAAAGCUAAGCGGCAUUUUUGUGCUCUGUAAUAACAAUAUAUUUCAGUGUCUCUUACUGUAAUUUCUCAGUCUGUAACAAAAAUAUUUUUUUCUGAUUUCUGAGUGAUAAUGCAGCCUUUGUAGCAUAAGCUUAUUGCUAUGUUCUACUCCUUAAAAAGUCUUUAAUGGACAGCUAUUGAAAACAUAGAAAAUUAACUUUAAAAAAUUUACUAUUACUUCUCUUGAAAUACUAGCUUUAAACAUAGCCCUUAGAGUUUUCUAAAAUUUAAUUUUUCCUUUAUGAAAGAGCCUGAUUCAGGUGAGCAGAUUUUCUUCGUUGUGUUUGCAAUGUAUCUUACACUGUCCUGGAUGUUCUGUGGUUUAGGAUAAAGCUAUAGGAAAAGUUCGAGUUUCCUUCUUAAGCUGGAGAAAUUACACUAGCUGGCUACCUGCGUGUAAAGCUCUUAAGGGAACAAAAGCUCCUGUCAGGUAUCUAUGCAUUGUCUUACUGUUUGAGUUUACAGUAACAUCAGUAAAGUGCUGAGGCUAACAUUUUCACAGGUCUUUGAAAUAUGUCCUGAAGAAUAGAGCCUUGCUAAGUUACUCCAAACAACUUCAUUUAAAGGUAGAUUCCCAAGAAAGCUUGUCUUUUCAGCGUGUAAUAAAAUGUUGGGUUCUUUCUGGUUUAGUGGUCCGCUGCUCUUUUGGGACUUGGCAGGAGAAAAUCAGUGAUCUAAAAUGAAUCGUGCCGUCUGUUCCUUGGUAGCGUGGUACUAAUACACCUGUGAACAGUGGGAAAUUGAGCAAUUGUUGGAAGCAAUCUAUGUCCAAGAUUCUGUCAAAAUACCCUCCAGUCAGCAUUUGUAAUCCUUCCAUUGUUCCAGAGGGGUGUCCUGAGUUUGAUUUCUUCCCGUGUACCUUUUGCCAGUCAAGUCUGGGCUGCUGUCAGAAGUCGGGACACCUCUGAAGCACACGCGGUUUGUUUUGGGAGGCAGUCGCCCAUCCUGUUGGAAGCUGGCUAUCUUUGUUGUCACGCUGCUACAGGGCCUUAAAAGGAAGCAAUCUAAGGACUAAUCCAGGGAGUGAAUAAGACCUCCAAAGAAUACUCAGGAAAUGGUGUUGAUGUUUGGUGUACUGCAUUGCUUCCUCUGAAAAUUGGGUUUGUCCCAAAGUAAUAUUAAUAAAAGCUGCUUCUCCAA